rnacentral:lncRNA from 1 species
GAAAAAGAAAGCCUAUGUCUGAGGUGAUUGAACGGAGGAGAGAAAGUCAGAGAAAGCGGAGCGAACAACUAUCUGUGUAGGAGAUUCUUUUGAGCGCUGGCAUGCGCUAAAUAAUCUUAAAACGGAUGCUUUGGUCGCGAAACUUCUGCUGGACAGGUACGUCAUGUUAAUUGUGGAGUAAGUACUGUACUUUGUAUUUAGGAAACAUGUAAAGUUGAAAACAUUUAAAGUUGUACGUGUAUUCUAGCUGUAUUCUGAUGUAUUUUAGCUAUAUGCGGCUAGUUGUACAAGAGACGCACAAGCUUCAGCACUUUUUUUUUUAAUCUGUGGACAUAAUACUUCUAGCCUCUAGUCCUGAGUGCAGCUAAGACCUAUGGUUUGUUGGGAAAAAGCAAUGACCGUGGCACAACUGUUGAUGACGAGCGAUCAUGUCCCUCCAUUGUGUAAACAAUGAGCUCGUCGUAAAACCUCGAGUUGUAGGCUUCUUAAUCUUUCUCAUUCACUUUUCGCAUUUUGGUUCAAGUGCACGGUAGAUCGGUGAUGUUUGGUGAAAUUAUCAGCAUUUAAAUUGCUGUCACUGUUGCGGAAGAACUUUUUCUCCGGUUAGCCUUUUUGUAGCCGCUAAGCUAGUAGUCGCCCCUUUACCAAAAUGGUCUUACCAAGCUCCUGUCUUUCCCUGCUCCAUAUACAACAAACGCAAACGUCCCUCGCUUGUUUACUGCUAUGACAAUAUUAUGUCCACACCAUUAACUCAUGGUCUAUGGGUGAGACCCCAGCCUCCUGUAUCCAGUAUAAUGCAGGAGUCACUCACAGACAGAGAUGCUGAUUUCUCUGUCAAAGGUGUCGAGAAAUUAGGCAGUAGCAGCAGUAAUGAAGAGCUACAUUCUCAGCAGCAAGAGGAUGCUGGUCCCUCCACUUCCAGAAACGAGCAAAUGGAAGACGUUCAUGAACAAGCCUUCAACAGUCUUUUAAAUGCUACACAGACAGAUAUCAGCACUGUUUCGCUGGGCGUGAAAAGCAGUGUGCCACACUACUGA